rnacentral:lncRNA from 1 species
AUGGUGGAUGCAUCCCUAAUGGUUGGAGAAAUGGUGGAGAAUGUCAUGGGAGAGAGAACCGGCAGAUCGUUGCCUGAGACCGUUAUGGAAAGAAAAUCUUACAGCUUGGGCAAUAGGAAAAGAGGCCCUUUAUCUGAUCUUGUUUUCCAGUCCAUUUUGAACCAAGAAAGACUCAUUGAAGACUCCUUGAGAAGAGUCUGCUCUGAAGAAGAAAAACAGACAAAAAGGAUGGGAGACACAUGCAGUUUUGUUACAUGUCCAACUAACACUGACCUUCCUGGAGUCAACAUUGAGAACUGA